CUGGACACCCCUGACUUUUAUCUCAAGUUACAGUUUUUCUCAGUUUUAGUCUUCUGAUUGUCUCCCCCAGCAAGCUACCCUCGAACUCCCAGCAGCACUGCGGCACAAAGCACCAAAUGUUAUUCUCUGUGGGGGCUCUGCUCAGCCCUUAGGGACUUUGCAAAAAGGGGACCCAGAAAGGACCCCAGGGGACCAGAGAAAGCUGCAUGGACACCUGUGUUGGCAUGGUCACAAGAACUGCAAAAGAGGGAGACAUUACAUGUAUUGUUUAUAUUCAUCUAUUCACACCUGAAGACCUCCAGAACUUCUGGCUGAAUGCCACCAUCCAGGCCUAGGCAUUUUUACAAGUGUGUUUUAUAAAAUCAAAGAAAGACGUCUUUAUCAGCUUGCUACAUUAAAUCAGCUCUGGUCUGACAUGCACUUCAACAGAUGAGAAGCUACCAUGGUGCUGAUGGACAAGUAUCCUCUGCAUACAAGGAAUGGCUAUAAUUUGAAGUUUGGUGAGCCCAAAAGACUCUCUGAUGAGUCAGUGAGGCAGCAAGCUGAUUGGAGGAGUAGGGAAGACCAGGGAAGCACCCACAAGCAAUGCCUAAUGGAGAAGACAAACGCCACCAACAGCAAGAAAAUAAACAAAAUUCCAAAAUAUUCCUUCCAUCUGUUUGCUAUACUAUGACAAAGUCCAUUUUUAGUGCAAUAACCAAAGGGAUUUAAAAAAAAACUUCAGUACUGAAAGAACACAGUUCCACUAAGGAAAUUAUUGUACCACAAGCAAUGACCUCUUUCCUAUUUGAAAUGCAUUCAAUCAUGCAGUUCUUCAGAAAGUGAGGGACUGUUUGUGGGCACAGGAUGAAUCCAGCUGAGCAUCAAACAAGCUUUUCAUGCACCAAUUUUUGGAAUGCCUGCCUGUGACCUACAGUACCCAAGCUGCUCCAGUCCUUCCUCAGCCGCUCUCAUGAGUCACAUCUCACAUCUCGAGAUCGUUGUUGUGGUAUCAUAGAAUCAUCAUAGAAUCCUAGAACCAUAGAAUCAUAAUAGAAUCAUAGAACAGCCUAGGUUGGAAGAGACCUUAAACAUUAUCUAGUUCCAGCCCCUCUGCCCUGGGCAGGAACACCUUUCACUAGACCAGUACUGAAUACCUAUUGAACACAGCUCAGACUGUGCCAGACCCUUCUCCCACGAUUUCUGUCCAUACCCAAACUGAUUUCUGCAGAUAAAAGAUCCAUGUUACCAGAGCCAUUUCAAGCUCCUUCAUAAACUAGCUUGAAACAGAGCUGAAACCAAAGCCUACCAUUGUGACACAGACAAAACAGAAGAAGUCGCUGAGAAUAAUUCUAAAGCAAUAUCCAUAGGUAUUAUGGCUCCUAGGUGUUUAUUGGGUUUUUUUUUUUGUUUCUUUGGUUUUUUGAGUGUGAGUGUUUUAUGGGACUGAAAGUAAAGGCACAAGAUAAUCUGCUUUCUGUUAGAUUAGUAACCCUGCUGGCUGGAAUCUUAUCACUGGAAUCAGAAACACAGGGAACGCUGGAAGACAAUUUUUAAAUUGUCACAUACCAGCAAGUAAUCAUACAUACAUGUCUCACUGGGAAUAUCCAAAUUCAGCCACGGUCAUACUUCAGCUUCAGGCUAAUCAACUGUACUCCAAUCAACCCUGCAACUCUGCUGCAAUGCAGAAAGUAUCCGAUCCAUCAACACCAAAGGCAUUUGACAUGACAUACAGACAAAACAAGCCCUAACCCAAAUCUUCACCAAAGAGGCAGCUCCUGUGACAUAGCUCCAAUUAGCAAUUUACACGUACUGCAAUGUCAGAUAGACUAAUUUCAUUUUAAUUUGUUUAAACAAAUACACUCCUACCAUUCACUUUUGUUACAAGCAGAACUCUCACUGCUCUCACUGCAGGAUGUUUAAUAUAUCUUGAAAUCCUGAUAAAUCAUUCUCUGUGCAUGAAGAAUAAGAGCAAUUUCAAAAGAGUUUCCUCCAACUUAACUAAAAAGAAAGAAAGGGGGUAGGGGAAGGGGAAGUGAGAAAACAUAUGUUUGUUGCUUGCCUUUCUAAGACACUUAGGAAAAGAAAAAGAUAAAAGUCAGUUUCUCAGUUGCUAGUGUGCAAGGUAUUACAGAAAAUCCAAUGUAUCUGAUGACAGAAGGGGCAGAAGCCUAAUCCUGCCUUAUUCAAAAUGCAUAGGUUAUUUGAGCCUGAGAGGAAUUUCCUCAAGCUACUUUCACUGCAACAUCCAUGAGAUUCAGUAAGCAGUUCUUAUUUUAUUGAUAAUGUUUGUCCCUGCCCAGAACUUGUGUAUGGCUUUAUUAAUCUGAAAGACUCGGUAAGUGGU
ensembl:lncRNA